GCGGAGGAAAAGAAACCAACAGGGAUUGCCCCAGUAACGGCGAGUGAAGCGGCAACAGCUCAAAUUUGAAAUCUGGCUCCCCCCUGGGGGGCCCGAGUUGUAAUUUGGAGAGGAUGCUUUGGGCGCGGCGCCUUCCGAGUUCCUUGGAACAGGACGCCAGAGAGGGUGAGAGCCCCGUACGGUCGGACGCCUAGCCCGUGUAAAGCUCCUUCGACGAGUCGAGUAGUUUGGGAAUGCUGCUCAAAAUGGGAGGUAAAUUUCUUCUAAAGCUAAAUACCGGCCAGAGACCGAUAGCGCACAAGUAGAGUGAUCGAAAGAUGAAAAGCACUUUGAAAAGAGGGUUAAACAGCACGUGAAAUUGUUGAAAGGGAAGCGCCUGUGGCCAGACGUGCGCCCCGCGGACCACCCGUCGCUCUGCGGCGGGGCACGCCGCGGCGGCGCAGGCCAGCAUCGGCUCUCCCAGGGGGACAAAGGUCGCGGGAACGUAGCUCCUUCGGGAGUGUUAUAGCCCGCGGCGCCAUGCCUCUGGGGGGGCCGAGGACCGCGCCUUCGGGCAAGGAUGCUGGCGUAA
rnacentral:rRNA from 2 species